GGGUGCAAUCAUACCAGCGUUAAUGCACCGGAUCCCAUCAGAACUUCGUAGUUAAGAGCGCUUUGGCUAGAGUAGUACUGGGAUGGGUGACCUCCCAGGAAGUCCUAGUUUUGCACCCU
rnacentral:rRNA from 1 species